CUGCAGGGGGCGCAGCGGCUCCGCUGCAGCCUUGCGGCCAGCCCGGCGUCCUCACGGCUGCGUCCGCUGCCUUGAUGCCCUCUUCGCUGCCUCCGGGAUGUGCGCGGGCACGCGAGGCACUGUGCCCCGACCUGAGCUUAUCCGUUAGCUCAGACACGGGUUGAGAAGAAUUUGUACUGUAUGAAAGAACACGGAGAGGUUGUGACCAACCACGAGGACUGAAUGUUAAGGAUUCAUCCUUUCUCCUGCACUAGGGUCAUGUCUUACACAGAGUCCCCACUGUGGCUUUGCUCUGCUGGGUCAAGGGAAACAUGAGGUGACAAUUUUUGCCCUUUCCUAUUAAUAGUUAAAAUGGUAGAAGGAGAAAGAAGAGGUCUGUACGGAUUUUGUCUUCAAGAUUGAUUUUAUAAUUUCAGGGGAACAUGGAAAGAUGGACCCGCUCCAAGGCUUUUGACUUCCCACACCUUUAAGAGAGAGACAGCAGGAUGACAUCUCAGAUGCUCUGUAGCUGUCCCAGAUCGUGAC
rnacentral:lncRNA from 1 species